AUGGAACGCAUGGCUACUUCCUAUUUCAAGGAAGUGUAUACGAAGGACCCGACUCUCCAUCCCGAUGUUGUUCUUGAGGCUAUUGGGCCUAAGGUGACUGAUCAGAUGAACGCCAUGUUAUGUGCGCCAUUUACUGAGGAGGAAGUUUCGAAUGCGCUAUUUCAAAUUGGCCCGCUUAAAGCUCCGGGCACAGAUGGCUUCCCGGCUAGGUUCUAUCAACGGAAUUGGGCAGCUCUAAAAUCUGAAAUUACAGCUGCUGUGUUGGAGUUUUUUGUCUCUGGCUCCAUGCCAGAAGGGGUAAAUGAUACGGCGAUCGUCCUCAUCCCGAAAGUUCCUUACCCCAAGGAGCUCAAAGACUUUAGGCCGAUCAGCCUCUGCAAUGUUAUUUACAAGUUGGUAUCUAAAUGUUUGGUUAACCGGCUCCGGCCUUGUUUGUCGGAGUUGAUUUCUGAGAAUCAAAGUGCUUUUAUUCCGGGCCGGCUCAUCUCGGAUAAUUCUAUUAUUGCUUUUGAGUGCAUCCAUCACAUACAAUUUGUGAAGAACACCAGUCGGGCGGCAUGUGCGUACAAACUCGAUCUCUCAAAGGCGUAUGAUCGGGUCGACUGGGACUUUCUAGAGAAGGCCCUCUGUAGAUGGGGCUUCUCGGAGCAGUGGAUCGCUUGGAUAAUGUCUUGCAUUAAAUCUGUCCGGUAUUCGGUUAAACUGAAUGGGAAACUACUGGAGGUUUUCUCACCUUCGCGUGGCCUUUGUCAAGGUGACCCAUUGUCUCCGUUCUUGUUUCUCUUUGUUGCUGAUGCGUUAUCUACUCUUCUAUCUAAAUCAGUGAGUGAAGGUAGCUUGAACGGGGUGAGCAUCUGUCGGGGUGCACCGGUGAUUUCUCAUCUCCUCUUUGCGGAUGAUACAUUGCUAUUUUUUGAAGCUUCAGGCCAGCAAGCGGAUGUUGUUAAGGGUUUGUUGAACACUUAUUCCUCGGCGACGGGUCAACUUAUAAACCCCGAGAAGUGUUCCAUCCUUUUUUCUGACAACUGCGGUGGGCAAGUCGUGGAUGAGAUCAAGAAUAUAUUGGAGGUGACGCAGCAGGUUUUCAAACCAAAGUAUCUUGGACUCCCAGUCCCGGAAGGGAGAGUGCACAAGGGGCAAUUUGAGACAUUGCAAGAUAGAUUGAGGAAAAUUCUUAUUGAUUGGAGUGAACAAUAUAUCUCGGUUGGAAAUAAAGAGAUUCUGAUCAAGGCAGUGUCUCAGGCAAUUCCCACCUAUGUAAUGAGUGUGUUCAAAUUGCCGACGUCAGUGUGUGAUGAUCUUACCAAGAUGAUGCGGCAAUAUUGGUGGGGCGUGGAAAAUGGUAAAAGAAAGAUGGCAUGGUUAAGCUGGGAAAGGAUGAUGCUACCCAAAGCAAUGGGGGGCAUGGGAUUCCGAGACAUGACGGCGUUUAACCAAGCCCUGCUGGCCAAGCAGGCUUGGCGCCUCUUGGAUAGCCCAGAUAGCCUUUGUGCGAGAUUACUUAAGGCCAAAUAUUACCCUAGGGGAAGUUUACUUGACACUGUUUUCUCGACGAACAGUUCAGCGGUCUGGAAGGGUAUUGUUCAUGGUCUUGAUUUGGUG
rnacentral:rRNA from 1 species